rnacentral:rRNA from 1 species
AUUGAACGCUGGCGGAAUGCUUUACACAUGCAAGUCGAACGGCAGCACGGGGGCAACCCUGGUGGCGAGUGGCGAACGGGUGAGUAAUACAUCGGAACGUGCCCAGUCGUGGGGGAUAACGUAGCGAAAGUUACGCUAAUACCGCAUACGAUCUAUGGAUGAAAGCGGGGGAUCGCAAGACCUCGCGCGAUUGGAGCGGCCGAUAUCAGAUUAGGUAGUUGGUAGGGUAAAGGCCUACCAAGCCAACGAUCUGUAGCUGGUCUGAGAGGACGACCAGCCACACUGGAACUGAGACACGGUCCAGACUCCUACGGGAGGCAGCAGUGGGGAAUUUUGGACAAUGGGCGAAAGCCUGAUCCAGCCAUUCCGCGUGCAGGAUGAGGGCCCUCGGGUUGUAAACUGCUUUUGUACAGAACGAAAAGGUUUCUACUAAUACUAGGAGCUCAUGACGGUACUGUAAGAAUAAGCACCGGCUAACUACGUG